rnacentral:rRNA from 1 species
AUUGAACGCUGGCGGCAUGCCUUACACAUGCAAGUCGAACGGCAACACGGGAGCAAUCCUGGUGGCGAGUGGCGAACGGGUGAGUAAUAUAUCGGAACGUGCCCAGUCGUGGGGGAUAACGCAGCGAAAGCUGUGCUAAUACCGCAUACGAUCUCUGGAUGAAAGCGGGGGACCGUAAGGCCUCGCGCGAUUGGAGCGGCCGAUAUCAGAUUAGCUAGUUGGUGGGGUAAAGGCCCACCAAGGCGACGAUCUGUAGCUGGUCUGAGAGGACGACCAGCCACACUGGAACUGAGACACGGUCCAGACUCCUACGGGAGGCAGCAGUGGGGAAUUUUGGACAAUGGGCGCAAGCCUGAUCCAGCAAUGCCGCGUGCAGGAUGAAGGCCUCCGGGUUGUAAACUGCUUUUGUACGGAACGAAACGGCGAGCUCUAAUAAAGUUUGCUAAUGACGGUACCGUAAGAAUAAGCACCGGCUAACUACGUGCCAGCAGCCGCCGUAA